rnacentral:rRNA from 1 species
UACGUAGGGGGCAAGCGUUGUCCGGAAUUACUGGGCGUAAAGAGCUCGUAGGUGGUUUGUCGCGUUGUUCGUGAAAACUCACAGCUCAACUGUGGGCGUGCGGGCGAUACGGGCAGACUUGAGUACUGCAGGGGAGACUGGAAUUCCUGGUGUAGCGGUGGAAUGCGCAGAUAUCAGGAGGAACACCGGUGGCGAAGGCGGGUCUCUGGGCAGUAACUGACGCUGAGGAGCGAAAGCGGGGGGAGCGAACAGG